rnacentral:rRNA from 1 species
UACGGGGGGGGCAAGCGUUGUUCGGAAUUACUGGGCGUAAAGGGCGCGUAGGCGGUUUGCUAAGUUGGAUGUGAAAACUCUGGGCUUAACCCAGAGCCUGCAUCCAAAACUGGCAAACUUGAGUACUGGAGGGGAAAGCGGAAUUCCUGGUGUAGCGGUGAAAUGCGUAGAUAUCAGGAAGAACACCAAUGGCGAAAGCAGCUCUCUGGGACGGUACUGACGCUGAGACGCGAAAGCGUGGGGAGCGAACAGG